rnacentral:rRNA from 1 species
UACGGAGGGUGCAAGCGUUAUUCGGAAUUACUGGGCGUAAAGAGCGCGUAGGUGGCUUAUUAAGUCUAAUGUGAAAUCCCUGGACUCAAUCCAGGAAGUGCAUCGGAUACUGAUAGGCUAGAGUACAGGAGAGGUAAGCGGAAUUCCAGGUGUAGAGGUGAAAUUCGUAGAUAUCUGGAGGAACAACAGAAGCGAAGGCGGCUUACUGGACUGUAACUGACACUGAGGCGCGACAGCGUGGGGAGCAAACAGG